CACGUAGGGGGCAAGCGUUGUCCGGAAUAAUGGGGCGAAAAGAGCUCGUAGGCGGCUAAGUAAGUCGGGUGGGAAACCUCCGGGCUCAACCCGGGAACUGCGUCCGAUACUGGAAGGCUUGAAUCCGGGAGAGGGAUGUGGAAUUCCAGGUGUAGCGGUGAAAUGCGUAGAUAUCUGGAGGAACACCGGUGGCGAAGGCGACAUCCUGGACCGGUAUUGACGCUGAGGCGCGAAAGCCAGGGGAGCAAACGGG
rnacentral:rRNA from 1 species